AUUGGGUAGGGGAGCGUUCUGUAAGCCGUUGAAGGUGAAUCGUAAGGUUUGCUGGAGGUAUCAGAAGUGCGAAUGCUGACAUGAGUAACGACAAGGGGGGUGAAAAACCUCCCCGCCGGAAGACCAAGGGUUCCUGUCCAACGUUAAUCGGGGCAGGGUGAGUCGACCCCUAAGGCGAGGCUGAAAAGCGUAGUCGAUGGGAAACGGGUUAAUAUUCCCGUACUCAAUCAAAUUGCGAUGGGGGGACGGAGAAGGCUAGGUGGGCCAGGCGACGGUUGUCCUGGUUCAAGUGCGUAGGCUUAAGAGUUAGGUAAAUCCGGCUCUUUCUAAGGCUGAGACACGACGUCGAGCUACUACGGUAGUGAAGUCAUUGAUGCCAUGCUUCCAGGAAAAGCCUCUAAGCUUCAGAUUUGAUGGAAUCGUACCCCAAACCGACACAGGUGGUCGGGUAGAGAAUACCAAGGCGCUUGAGAGAACUCGGGUGAAGGAACUAGGCAAAAUGGUACCGUAACUUCGGGAGAAGGUACGCUCUUGAUGGUGAAGUCCCUCGCGGAUGGAGCUGACGAGAGUCGCAGAUACCAGGUGGCUGCAACUGUUUAUUAAAAACACAGCACUGUGCAAAAUCGCAAGAUGACGUAUACGGUGUGACGCCUGCCCGGUGCCGGAAGGUUAAUUGAUGGGGUUAGCG
rnacentral:rRNA from 1 species